rnacentral:rRNA from 1 species
GACGAACGCUGGCGGCGUGCUUAACACAUGCAAGUCGAACGGAAAGGCCCUGCUUUUGUUGGGUGCUCGAGUGGCGAACGGGUGUGUAAAACGUGAGUAACCUGCCCUUGAUUUUGGGAUAUCUUCAGGAAACUGUGGCUCAUAUCGGAUAUGAGCUCCUGCUGCAUGGUGGGGGUGGGAAAGUUUCGGCGGUUUGGGAUGGACUCGCGGCUUAUCAGCUUGUUGGUGGGGUAGUGGCUUACCAAGGCUUUGACGGGUAGCCGGCCUGAGAGGGUGACCGGCCACAUUGGGACUGAGAUACGGCCCAGACUCCUACGGGAGGCAGCAGUGGGGAAUAUUGCACAAUGGGCGGAAGCCUGAUGCAGCAAUGCCGCGUGCGGGAUGACGGCCUUCGGGUUGUAAACCGCUUUCGCCUGUGACGAAGCGUGAGUGACGGUAAUGGGUAAAGAAGCACCGGCUAACUACGUG